rnacentral:tRNA from 1 species
AAGGAUAUAACUUAAUGGUAAAGUAUUUGUCUUCAACACAUGUAAUAGUAGUUCGAUUCUACUUAUCCUUG